CAGAGACCUGCUUUGGGGAAAGUUCAGAAGUUCUGUGGUUCUGAAUGUGAAAAAGAAAUGAUUGCAUCAUUGUUGUUGCUGUGCUGGGGUAUUUUCUGGGGAAACAUUUCCCUUCCUUCAUAGAAGUCUGUCCUGGGCCUAGGCUUAGGCUUAGGUGAAGUGAAUGAUCAUUGCCUAGUGUCAGCUGCAGGAGUCUUGGCUGCUGAAAGGAUGUAUGAGAGCAUCUCAUCAGGAAGCUCCCAGAUGCAUGUUUGAAUCCAUAAACAAAUAAGCAAACGAUACUGGACCGCAAUCCUGCUGGUAGGCCGUGUCAUUUCUGGAAAGAACAUGGACUCUACCACACACCCUCCAAGCUUGACUCCUGGCUUCCAAUGUGUUAUCAAAUAGUAUCCUUCAGGGUAUCCUUUUAAAGAUACUGAACACAUGUGCAGAAGAUAAGAAACUUUGUAAGAGUUUGCAAGAGUCUCCAGUGAUUGCUGACAUCAUAAAUAAGAGUGCCAAUUGUUAAAUCAACAACGGGAGUCACUGGGUACAUGCUCCCCACGUAGAAUCUCUGUCCUUAAUGUGUUCUACUAUGAAACUUAAAAACAACUCUAGUGGUCGAACAAUACCCUAUACCUUAUGUGGUUGUGUGAGUGCAGCCUGUUGAAAUCCUUGCUUAGUAUAUACUAAGUUGAUCUUCAGUAUCUGAAGGUAAUUGAAAAUGAAACUCGAUGAAGGGCGGGAUGGGAGAGGGAGUGGGAGAGGGGAGGGCCACGGGAGGAAGGGAGGUUGGGGGAGGAGCCACAACAAUACAAAGCUGCACUUUGUAAAUUUUAUUAAAAAAAAACUAUAUAACAAACAAACAAAAAGAAACAGAAAAAAAAAGAACUUAAUACUUUACCCUUUUAGUAUUUUUUAUGUUCUACUUAAAACUAUUGGUUGAACUCUGUAAUUAAUACACAAUUACUCUUAGGUGUUUAAUUAAUGCUAUAACUAGUACUCAAAUAGUAUUUUACACUUUGUGUUUCUGUAUUGGUGCAAACUGUUGAAAUCUUUACUUAAUAUAUGCUAAAUUGAUCUUCUGUAUAUAAAGAUAAUUGAAAAUUAAUCUUGAUGUGAAUGGAAGGGGAG